CCUACGGGUGGCAGCAGUGAGGAAUAUUGGUCAAUGGAGGCAACUCUGACCCAGCAAUGCCGCGUGAGUGAUGAAGGUAAUUUUAUUGUAAAGCUCUUUUCUUUGGAACGAAUAAAUGACGGUACCAAAGGAAUAAGCCCCGGCUAACUACGUGCCAGCAGCCGCGGUAAUACGUAGGGGGCAAGCGUUAUCCGGAUUUACUGGGUGUAAAGGGAGCGUAGACGGCAGCACAAGUCUGGAGUGAAAUCCCGGGGCUUAACCCCGGAACUGCUUUGGAAACUGUGCGGCUGGAGUGCAGGGGGGGUAAGCGGAAUUCCUAGUGUAGCGGUGAAAUGCGUAGAUAUUAGGAGGAACACCGGUGGCGAAGGCGGCUUACUGGACUGUAACUGACGUUGAGGCUCGAAAGCGUGGGGAGCAAACAGGAUUAGAUACCCUUGUAGUC
rnacentral:rRNA from 1 species